rnacentral:rRNA from 1 species
ACCUGGUUGAUCCUGCCAGUAGUCAUAUGCUUGUUUCAAGGACUAAGCCAUGCAAGUCUCAGAGUAAAUGGAUCACAGUAGGUCUGCAGACAGCUCAUUAAAUCAGCUUCAAUCUACGCGGAGAAACUGCCUCCUGGCAGACUAUUGGAUAACUUUGGUAACCCCAAAGCUAAUACAUGUCAGUACAACCCGCACAGAUUCAACCUGGGUCCUCGGUUCUGGGGCUGUGUUGGGUGCAGUUGACUGAAACAAAAACCAACGCUAGUAAUAGCAGCGGUGAUUGGAUGAUUCAGGUCAACGAGUAGUAGCGCAUACUUCGGUGGCGCUUGUCGCAUGAGAAUCUGCCCUAUCAGCUUUUGACGGUAGUGUAGUGGACUACCGUGGCUGUAACGGGUAACGGGGAAUUAGGGUUCGAUUCCGGAGAGGGAGCCUGAGAAACGGCUACCACAACUAAGGUUGGCAGCAGGCGCGCAAAUUGCCCAAUAGCAACACAUCGCUGAGGCAGCGAAGAGAAAUAGCAACUUCAUGCGGCCCUGCCGUGUGAAGAUUGCCAUGGACGAUAUCUAAACCUGUCGGUGAGUAUCAAUUGGUGGACAAGUCUGGUGCCAGCACCCGCGGUAAUUCCAGCACCAAUAGCGUAUAUUAAUGCUGCUGCUGUUAAAAAGCUCGUAGCUGGAUCAAGAGUUCCACGGUGCACGGUGGCCCUGUUUGCUAGUUGGUUUCGAUCAGCGAGGCGGCGGCGGAUCAACCCCGUGCGCCAAACUGUGGACUCUAACAGGCCGAAACGGUUCCCUGUGAGUAGGCUCCUUCAUUGGGGCUGAAAGCGCUUACGCAUCAACCAUAUGCAUACGGGACGUCGGCCAAAGUUACUGUGAACAAACCAGCGUGUCCAAAACAGGCUUUCGCCUGAAUGUUCGAGCAUGGAAUAACAAGGGAUCGAUUCUCUCGGUUCCUUUUGUUGGUUUUUAACCCGAGAAAGAGUAAUUCAGGCCACGGUGUCUGAGUUGGGUUCCCCGUCACCUCGGUGGCGGCCCCAAUUAAGCCGUGUCCUUACAAGAUAAAUAGAGACUGACGAAGUCGUACGUACUUCCACGUCAGAAGUGAAAUUCUUAGAUCGUGGGAAGACGAACUUCUGCGAAACCAUUCGACAAGAAUGUCUUCAUUAAUCAAGAACGAGAGUGUGGGGAUCGAAGAUGAUCAGAUACCGUCGUAGUCCACUACUGUAAACAAUGCCGUCUCAGGAUUGAGAAGUGAACAGUAUGACUUUCACAGCACUAACCCCUGAAACGAGAAAUCAAAGAUUAUGGGUUCAGGGGGGAGUACAUUCGCAAGGCUGAAACUUAA